rnacentral:misc_RNA from 1 species
AAGUCGUAACAAGGUUUCCGUAGGUGAACCUGCGGAAGGAUCAUUAACACGUUAUCCACGUAUCAACCAACGAGAACCGUUUUCACCUCUCCCCUCCGUAGAAUGGAUUGCGUGCGCAGUAGAGUUAAUGAAUGGGAUGCUUGCGUCAGACUCUGCUCGCCUUUGACUUGACGUAGAAAUACGUUGGGUUGGACAAUUGUAUCUGCAAUGGAGGAUCCCUCUCAUUGAUCAGUCUCCACUUCAUGACUCUUUCGAUGGGAACCUAUUUUACCCCUUUCACCCCCUUUUUGCUAGUUGACUUUUAUAUGUUGUACUCGAGCUUCGGCGACGGUGCACACGUUUAAUUAUUUGAACGUUAAAAAUACAACUCUUAGCAAUGGAUAUCUUGGUUCUC